UGAAGACGCACCCGUAAAGGUGCCGGGGCUUCCCCCGUUUUUUUUCUAACGGGGGAAGAAGGCGGAUGGAAGC
rnacentral:tRNA from 1 species